GACGGUACUUGAUGAAUAAGCCACGGCUAAUUCCGUGCCAGCAGCCGCGGUAAUACGGGAGUGGCAAGCGUUAUCCGGAAUUAUUGGGCGUAAAGCGUCCGCAGGCGGCCCUUCAAGUCUGCUGUUAAAAAGUGGAGCUUAACUCCAUCAUGGCAGUGGAAACUGUUGGGCUUGAGUGUGGUAGGGGCAGAGGGAAUUCCCGGUGUAGCGGUGAAAUGCGUAGAUAUCGGGAAGAACACCAGUGGCGAAGGCGCUCUGCUGGGCCAUCACUGACGCUCAUGGACGAAAGCCAGGGGAGCGAAAGGGAUUAGAUACCCCUGUAGUCCUGGCCGUAAACGAUGAACACUAGGUGUCGGGGGAAUCGACCCCUCCGGUGUCGUAGCCAACGCGUUAAGUGUUCCGCCUGGGGAGUACGCACGCAAGUGUGAAACUCAAAGGAAUUGACGGGGGCCCGCACAAGCGGUGGAGUAUGUGGUUUAAUUCGAUGCAACGCGAAGAACCUUACCAGGGUUUGACAUCCUGCGAAUCUCUUGGAAACUUGAGAGUGCCUUCGGGAGCGCAGUGACAGGUGGUGCAUGGCUGUCGUCAGCUCGUGUCGUGAGAUGUUGGGUUAAGUCCCGCAACGAGCGCAACCCACGUCUUUAGUUGCCAGCAUUUAGUUGGGCACUCUAGAGAGACCGCCGGUGAUAAACCGGAGGAAGGUGUGGAUGACGUCAAGUCAUCAUGCCCCUUACAUCCUGGGCUACACACGUACUACAAUGCUACGGACAAAGGGCAGCAAGUUCGCGAGGACAAGCAAAUCCCAUAAACCGUGGCUCAGUUCAGAUCGUAGGCUGCAACUCGCCUACGUGAAGGAGGAAUCGCUAGUAAUCGCAGGUCAGCAUACUGCGGUGAAUACGUUCCCGGGCCUUGACACACCUGU
rnacentral:rRNA from 1 species